rnacentral:tRNA from 1 species
GGAGUUGUGACUCAGUGGUAGAGUGCUCGCUUAACAUGUUUGAGUCACUGGGUUCAAUCCUCAGCACCA